GGGGGGGCCGUGGGUCCGAGGCCCGGUGGGGCCGCCCGGGGGUGCGGGGAAGGCCUCGGCGGUGCCGGCGGCGCCAAGCGGCAGGGAGCCAGAGAAGCCGUUGGGGUCCCUCAGCCGAAGUUGAAGGAACAAAAUGUGAAAGGCCGGUAGAGGACUGUGAACGAAAAGUUGUCCCCCAGGAUGGACUUCACCGCGCAGCCCAAGCCUGCCACUGCCCUCUGUGGCGUCGUGAGUGCCGACGGGAAGAUCGCUUACCCUCCGGGUGUAAAAGAGAUCACCGACAAGAUCACCACGGACGAGAUGAUCAAACGCCUGAAGAUGGUAGUGAAAACCUUUAUGGAUAUGGAUCAGGACUCAGAAGAUGAAAAACAGCAGUAUCUCCCACUAGCCUUGCAUCUUGCAUCUGAAUUCUUCCUCAGGAACCCCAAUAAAGAUGUGCGUCUCCUUGUAGCAUGUUGUUUGGCUGAUAUCUUUCGUAUCUAUGCCCCAGAAGCUCCAUAUACUUCCCAUGAUAAACUUAAGGACAUAUUUUUGUUUAUUACCAGACAAUUAAAAGGUUUGGAGGAUACAAAGAGUCCACAGUUUAAUAGAUACUUUUAUUUAUUAGAGAAUUUAGCUUGGGUUAAAUCAUAUAACAUCUGCUUUGAAUUGGAAGAUUGCAAUGAAAUUUUUAUUCAGCUUUUUAGGACUCUCUUCUCAGUGAUCAACAAUAGCCACAAUAAGAAGGUACAAAUGCACAUGCUAGAUUUGAUGAGUUCUAUCAUCAUGGAAGGUGAUGGAGUUACUCAAGAAUUGUUGGACUCCAUUCUUAUUAACCUCAUUCCUGCACAUAAGAACUUAAAUAAACAGUCCUUUGACCUUGCAAAAGUGCUGUUGAAAAGAACAGUCCAGACUAUUGAGGCAUGCAUUGCCAAUUUUUUCAAUCAAGUCCUGGUGCUGGGAAGAUCAUCAGUAAGUGAUUUGUCAGAACAUGUAUUUGAUCUGAUUCAGGAACUUUUUGCUAUAGAUCCUCAUUUAUUAUUAUCUGUCAUGCCACAGCUUGAAUUCAAACUUAAGAGCAAUGAUGGAGAAGAGCGAUUAGCUGUUGUUCGGCUUCUAGCUAAAUUGUUUGGUUCCAAAGAUUCUGAUUUGGCGACACAGAAUCGUCCUCUUUGGCAAUGUUUUCUUGGACGAUUUAAUGACAUUCAUGUUCCUGUGAGAUUAGAAAGUGUGAAAUUUGCCAGUCAUUGCUUAAUGAAUCACCCAGAUUUAGCAAAGGAUCUCACAGAAUAUUUAAAGGUUAGAUCACAUGAUCCAGAAGAAGCUAUUCGUCAUGAUGUCAUUGUUACUAUUAUAACAGCGGCCAAGAGAGACCUGGCCUUAGUAAAUGAUCAGCUGCUUGGCUUUGUAAGGGAAAGAACACUGGAUAAACGGUGGCGAGUAAGAAAAGAAGCUAUGAUGGGUCUGGCUCAGCUUUAUAAGAAAUACUGUCUUCAUGGUGAAGCAGGAAAGGAAGCUGCAGAGAAAGUCAGCUGGAUAAAGGACAAACUUUUGCAUAUUUAUUAUCAGAACAGCAUUGACGACAAACUGUUGGUAGAGAAAAUCUUUGCUCAGUAUCUUGUCCCCCACAACCUGGAAACAGAAGAGAGAAUGAAAUGCUUGUAUUACUUAUAUGCUAGUUUGGAUCCAAAUGCUGUAAAAGCUCUCAAUGAAAUGUGGAAGUGUCAGAACAUGCUUCGGAGUCAUGUACGCGAACUAUUGGAUUUGCACAAGCAGCCUACAUCAGAGGCUAACUGUUCUGCCAUGUUUGGAAAACUGAUGACCAUAGCAAAGAAUUUGCCUGACCCUGGGAAAGCACAAGAUUUUGUGAAGAAAUUUAACCAAGUUCUCGGAGACGAUGAGAAACUUCGGUCUCAAUUGGAGUUAUUAAUCAGCCCAACCUGUUCUUGCAAACAGGCAGAUAUUUGUGUGAGAGAAAUAGCCCGGAAACUUGCAAAUCCUAAGCAACCAACAAAUCCUUUUCUAGAGAUGGUCAAAUUUCUGUUGGAAAGAAUCGCACCUGUGCACAUUGAUUCAGAAGCCAUAAGUGCACUAGUGAAAUUGAUGAAUAAGUCGAUAGAGGGGACUGCAGAUGAUGAAGAGGAGGGUGUAAGUCCAGAUACAGCGAUUCGUUCAGGACUUGAACUUCUUAAGGUUCUGUCUUUCACACAUCCUACCUCGUUCCACUCUGCAGAGACAUAUGAGUCCUUGUUACAGUGCCUAAGAAUGGAGGAUGACAAGGUAGCAGAAGCUGCUAUACAAAUUUUUAGAAAUACAGGUCACAAAAUAGAAACAGAUCUUCCCCAAAUACGAUCGACCUUAAUUCCCAUUUUACAUCAAAAAGCAAAGAGGGGUACUCCACACCAAGCAAAACAGGCUGUGCACUGUAUACACGCCAUAUUCACAAAUAAAGAAGUCCAGCUUGCACAGAUUUUUGAGCCACUCAGUAGGAGUCUGAAUGCUGAUGUGCCAGAACAACUUAUAACUCCAUUAGUUUCAUUGGGCCACAUUUCUAUGUUAGCUCCAGAUCAGUUUGCUUCCCCAAUGAAAUCUGUAGUGGCAAAUUUUAUUGUGAAAGAUCUGCUAAUGAAUGACAGGUCAACAGGUGAAAAGAAUGGAAAACUGUGGUCUCCAGAUGAAGAGGUUUCACCUGAAGUACUAGCAAAGGUGCAGGCAAUUAAACUUCUGGUAAGGUGGCUGUUGGGUAUGAAAAACAACCAGUCUAAAUCUGCCAAUUCAACUCUUCGGUUAUUAUCAGCGAUGUUGGUUAGUGAGGGUGACCUGACAGAGCAAAAGAGGAUCAGUAAAUCUGAUAUGUCUCGCUUGCGAUUAGCUGCUGGUAGUGCCAUAAUGAAGCUUGCUCAGGAACCUUGUUACCAUGAAAUUAUUACCCCAGAACAGUUUCAGCUCUGUGCACUUGUUAUUAAUGAUGAGUGUUACCAAGUAAGGCAGAUAUUUGCUCAGAAGCUGCAUAAGGCACUUGUGAAGUUACUGCUCCCAUUGGAGUAUAUGGCGAUCUUUGCCUUGUGUGCCAAAGAUCCUGUGAAGGAGAGAAGAGCACAUGCACGACAGUGUUUGCUAAAAAAUAUCAGUAUACGCAGGGAGUACAUUAAACAGAACCCUAUGGCUACUGAGAAAUUAUUAUCACUGUUGCCUGAAUAUGUAGUUCCAUACAUGAUUCACCUGCUAGCCCAUGAUCCAGAUUUUACAAGAUCACAAGAUGUUGAUCAGCUUCGUGAUAUCAAAGAGUGCCUGUGGUUCAUGCUUGAAGUUUUAAUGACAAAGAAUGAAAACAAUAGCCAUGCCUUUAUGAAGAAGAUGGCAGAGAACAUCAAGUUAACCAGAGAUGCCCAGUCUCCAGAUGAAUCCAAGACAAAUGAAAAAUUGUAUACAGUAUGUGAUGUGGCUCUCUGUGUUAUAAAUAGUAAAAGUGCUUUGUGCAAUGCAGAUUCACCAAAGGACCCAGUCCUCCCAAUGAAAUUUUUUACACAACCUGAAAAGGACUUCUGUAACGAUAAGAGUUAUAUUUCAGAAGAGACAAGAGUACUUCUGUUAACAGGAAAGCCAAAGCCUGCUGGUGUACUAGGUGCAGUAAACAAGCCUUUAUCAGCAACAGGAAGGAAACCCUAUGUUAGAAGCACUGGCACUGAGACUGGAAGCAAUAUUAAUGUAAAUUCAGAGCUGAACCCUUCAACCGGAAAUCGAUCAAGGGAACAGAGUUCAGAGGCAACAGAAACUGGAGUUAGUGAAAAUGAAGAGAACCCUGUGAGGAUUAUUUCGGUCACACCUGUAAAGAAUAUUGACCAAGUAAAAAAUAAGGAAAUUAAUUCUGAUCAGGCUACCCAGGGCAACAUCAGCAGUGACCGAGGAAAGAAAAGAACAGUAACAGCAGCUGGUACAGAAAAUAUCCAACAAACAACAGAUGAGAAAGUAGACGAAUCGGGACCGCCUGCCCCUUCCAAACCCAGGAGAGGACGUCGACCCAAGUCAGAAUCUCAGGGCAAUGCAACCAAAAAUGAUGAUCUAAAUAAACCUAUUAACAAGGGAAGGAAAAGAGCUGCAGUGGGUCAGGAGAGCCCUGGGGGUUUGGAAGCAGGUAAUGCCAAAGCACCCAAACUGCAAGAUGUAGCCAAAAAGGCAGCACCAGCAGAAAGACAGAUUGACUUACAAAGAUGUAAAAUUGUUGAAAAGGAGACAGUCUUACUACUAAUCAGGCUGAUUAAAAGUGUAGAGUGAAUUAGGCAAGUUGGGCUGCUAAGGCAACCUUGCCUCUGAAUUGAACAGCCACAGACAAACCAGAAUGCCCCUCUCAGGGCAAAGGAACAAAUCUAAAUGAAGCCAAACCCAACAUGCUCCUUUAUUUUCCCCAUUUCAUCUGUGAGAUGAGUUCCUCCUCCUCCCAAAGAGGAGUAGGUGAGAGGAGGUAAAAAGGCAUUUGCAAAGGGAGAAAAUGAAGGCCAAACAGAAGCAGGCUCCAGCUUCUGCAAAAACUUGGAUUCACAAAUGUCCCUGAACAGAAAAUGAAGCUCACUUCAGAACACACACUCUCUGCCUUGAAAACUAAAGAAACUAUUCCUUUUCACAUGACCACAAGUCCUCUGAUGGAAAUGUACAGCAGAAACUCUUGAGAGAGAGGCUAAAAGCAACUCUGUUCUCCCCCUUCCCCUAGACUUUUCUUACGAAAAGUCAAUAAUUAAGCAAAUUGCUUAACACUUGGUUCCAGUUCCUGCCUAUCUGGAGUUUAAAUGCAUCAUACACCAUUAAUUUCACGCUGCAGUUUUUAUUUUAAAGUAACAAGAUGUCUUUACACUGACACUGAAAAUUCAUCGAUUUUAGAGCCAGGAAUUCCCAUGUUACACAGGAAGAAAUAGAAGUCUACUGAAUUAAUUUUUUAAAAGAAAAGAGAUCAAAUAUUUCUUUGUUUUUCCUUUUGGAAACUUUUAUGUAUAAUUCUUUCUGCCUGCCUACUUUUCUGCAAAAAUGAGAUGUACAGAUUUCGGUUCCCUGCUAUGAAAAGUGAUGUGGUGGCAAUUUUAUAAAUGUUGCUUUCUGAUUUUUAUCAGAGUGAGAAAAUAAUUAAAAUUAUAUUGAUUUGCAAGUAGUAAACAGUUCAUAUUUUGACUUCCCCUCAUUUUAGUUUAAUAUAAUUUGCAAUAAAUGUACAUAUUGUUGUUUGUUUCAUAAAGCAUAUCACUUUAAAAUGGUUUUUACUCCUGUGAUUAUGUUGGAAUAUUUGGAAUUUUAAAGGAGUAAAGACUGUCCAGCAUUUGGUUUUAUAAUGUUUGUCACCAGAUUUUUAUUAAUAAUGUAAAAAAAAGUCAAUUUUUAAAAAAUAGUUGGACUUCGGCAGCUUUGUAAGGAAAGCUGGAGGUGUUUUAGGAUUGCUGUCAAUUUUCAGCAUUGUGCUAUUGGGAAAUAAGUGUUUUGCUUUGGUCUGAUGGUCUGGGCUCAUUUUUAUGUUUAUUUUAGAAAACUGUUGCAUCAAUAUGUUAUGUUUCUUGGCGUUGUUCAGCAUAGGUGAUGUGUGCACUUUUUGUGUACACAUAAUCAUAUUUAAGUUUUUUGCAUAAAAUAAAUGCUUCUAGAUGUCAUAUGGCAGUCUUUUUAAUCUUUUUAUCAUAUGCUUGUGAAUUUUUUCAUGUUAAAGAGCUGAAGUCAUAACAUGAUUACAGUCAACUCUCCAUUAUCUAUAUAAAAUAGUGACUAUGCCUCAGGUUUUUAAUUUUUUGGUAAUCAUAAACUUAGAAAAUAAAGAAGGCAUAUAAAACCUGAUUCCGGAGGAACUUGAAAUUUGUCUUUUCUCAUGACCAGAGUUCGGUCCUCCCCCAUUGUCCACUAUAGGGUCAUCCCCAAAGCCCUGGCAGAAUGUGCUGACUUCAUUUUCUUACUCAUCCCUAGCAUGGGUUAAAGGAACAAACAACAUUUGUGUUAUGACUUGGUCUUGAUAGGCUGUAGUUCGUUUACAUGGGAUAUAGAAGAAACAAUGAAGCGCCUCAAAGGUGGAUGAUUCUGUAGAGUGAAGUUUGAGAGUAAAUGUCACUUACGUUCUCAUAGAUAAUCAAGAGUUGGCUGUGUACUGCUUGACUGAAAAAUGGGUAGUUAUUUUAAAUAUGCAUAUACACACACAUUCAGGUAUUCAGAAGAUGUUUAGGGAACAAUGGAUACCAAUGAUAGAAAACGAUACCUUUGCAGGGGCAGAAAAAGCCCUACUCUUCCUUAUUGCCUCUUCAGAACCCUUUAGAAAGUAUAAAAUGUUGCCUCCAACAUGCUGAAAAAAGAGUAUCUAUGCAUAAGUAUCAGAGAAGUCCCUCAAGCAAGCAGUAGGUGUGUUACAUUUAGAAAGAGUUUAAAGUUCUCUUAGCAUCAGACAACUUGAUUCCUAAGGUUUCCAUCGUGUCACCAACAAAAAGUGCAUUGAUAGGGGCCUUUGGCUCUUCCUCCCUUUGAUUAAUUGCCCAACAUCACAGUUUAAUUACCAAGUGUGACAUCAUAUUAAAACGUAGCAGAACUAUCUGCAUCAGUAUAUUCCUGUUUAGAUUUUUGCAAGAGACGAGUUACUUGAUGGUCCUUGUGUGAUGUAAAUGGCCCACCCCGAUUUUGUAACGUGAUGCAAGUGUCUGGCGCUAAGGGAAGCAAGGGUAGGACUGCAGAGAGAUCAAGCUCAUGGGGAGGGACUUGUUUACGGGAAAUGUUUUAGUUUUCCUUUUUGAAGGAAAACAAAAAUCCCUUAGGAAUUUGGUAUUCACAUCUCAGAGAACUACAACACAAAAGUGCAGACUUAUAUUUGAGAAUUAAUAUUAACCCUUUGUGUCUAGUUUGAAGCUUCUUGUAUUUGUCUAAAACUACAAGCCAGAAUUUUGUAUCUCCUUUGAUAAAAAGUGUGUAUAAUGUAAAGUAGUUUUGCAUAUUCUUGUGCUGCACAUGGGCUGAAUUUUUAAAUUUUUUUUAAAAACUUGAAGCAGAACCUUGUAAUUUGUGUAAAUGACAAGUGUAAAAUCCUACCAUAAAAUGCUAAAGAUAUGCACUGUUUCAAAUAAAACCAAGAAAUGCAGCAUUA